GAUGAACGCUGGCGGCGUGCUUAACACAUGCAAGUCGAGCGAUGAAGUUUCCUUCGGGAAACGGAUUAGCGGCGGACGGGUGAGUAACACGUGGGUAACCUGCCUCAUAGAGUGGAAUAGCCUUCCGAAAGGAAGAUUAAUUCCGCAUAACGUUGAAAGAUGGCAUCAUCAUUCAACCAAAGGAGCAAUCCGCUAUGAAAUGGACCCGCGGCGCAUUAGCUAGUUGGUGGGGUAACGGCCUACCAAGGCGACGAUGCGUAGCCGACCUGAGAGGGUGAUGGGCCAAAUUGGGACUGGGACACGGCCCAGACUCCUACGGGAAGCAGCAGUGGGGAAUAUUGCACAAUGGGGGAAACCCUGAUGCAGCAACGCCGCGUGAGUGAUGAAGGUUUUCGGAUCGUAAAGCUCUGUCUUUGGGGAAGAUAAUGACGGUACUCAAGGAGGAAGCCACGGCUAACUACGUGCCAGCAGCCGCCGUAA
rnacentral:rRNA from 1 species